GAUGAAGAACGUAGCGAAAUGCGAUACUUGGUGUGAAUUGCAGAAUCCCGUGAACCAUCGAGUCUUUGAACGCAAGUUGCGCCCGAAGCCAUUAGGCCGAGGGCACGCCUGCCUGGGCGUCACACGUCGUUGCCCCCCCAUCUACUCCUUCGGGAUUGCGGGGGGCGGAUGAUGGCCUCCCGUGCGCCUAGUCGCGCGGUUGGCAUAAAUGCCAAGUCCUCGGCGACGCACGCCACGACAAUCGGUGGUUGCGAAACCUCGGUUGCCUGUCGUGUGCGGUCGUCGCGCAUCGAGGGCUCGAAAAAAUUGCCGGGCUUCGGCUCGACUUUCAACGCGACCCCAGGUCAGGCGGGGUUACCCGCUGAAUUUAAGCAUAUCAAUAAGCGGAGGA
rnacentral:misc_RNA from 1 species